GCUUUGGCUCAGGGGUAGAGCAUCUGCUCAGCAUGCAAAAGUACCCAGGUUCAAUUCCCAGCGACUCCA
rnacentral:tRNA from 1 species